UACGGGGGGGGCAAGCGUUGUUCGGAAUUACUGGGCGUAAGGGCUCGUAGGUGGCCAACUAAGUCAGACGUGAAAUCCCUCGGCUUAACCGGGGAACUGCGUCUGAUACUGGAUGGCUAGAGUUUGGGAGAGGGAUGCGGAAUUCCAGGUGUAGCGGUGAAAUGCGUAGAUAUCUGGAGGAACACCGGUGGCGAAGGCGGCAUCCUGGACCAACACUGACGCUGAGGAGCGAAAGCCAGGGGAGCAAACGGG
rnacentral:rRNA from 1 species